rnacentral:misc_RNA from 1 species
GGGAUCAUGUUAUGAGUUACAGAGGGGUAGGGUGUGACAAUGAAAUAGUAUGCAAAUGUGUUUAAAAACUUCUAUACAAUUCAAGUGUAUCAAAAUAUGGCAUGAAAAUAGAAAGAUGAAGCUAGCAUGUGAGAGCUUCAAUGGAGGUUUUUAGGAGGAUUUCCAAUUCGGCAUAAAGAAAUGAAGAAGAUGAAUGAAGGUAGUGGAUGUACAUUUGUCUUCUAAUGGCUUUU